CACCACCAGUUGGAUGCCAUUUGUCCAUCCCACUAAGAGAUUGCUAUAGGUGUCAACAAGUUUUUGGAAUGGAAGGUGCUGGUGCCACCCACUGCAGUUAUAGUCUUCCUGGUAUGGGAAGUGGCCUCGAAGAGAUGAUGAUCCUUUUCUGGAAGUAGUCACAUUCAGUGACCAAAUUACCUUACUAAUAUGAAUGAACUAGAAGGAAGUGAAUGAGAUUACUGGACUCCUUGGCCCUGCAACCAUAAUUACAUUGUCUUUGUCUUUACCCAUGAUGCUUGCAACCUCAUGUCCUACUAACAGCCCUUCCUCUGCCUAUGAAGAAGAGAGUGGGUGGCAAUAAAAGACACAAUUUUGGCAGCUUGUUUCUAUCCUACCUUUCACUGUCCAGUUUCUAAAGUUCACGAACUGGUAUAAGAGUAAGAAACUUUUAUUCCCAAUGCCCAAACCUUGCCCAUCUCUUGGUUGACUAUAUACUAGAUGACAUAAAGUCUUCUCUUAUCCCCUAACACAGUCAUGGAAUCCUUGUCUUCCCUCUUCCAAAAAGCCACAUUUUUCAGUAUCCUAUCCUCACUCCCAUAACUGUUAGGAAUUGUAAAGCAUCUGAGAUUUUAUGUUGCUCCCAA